rnacentral:rRNA from 1 species
CCUACGGGAGGCUGCAGUGGGGAAUAUUGCACAAUGGGGGAAACCCUGAUGCAGCGACGCCGCGUGAGUGAAGAAGUAUUUCGGUAUGUAAAGCUCUAUCAGCAGGAACGAGACAAGAAGGUACCUGACCAAGAAGCCCCGGCUAACUCCGCACCAGCAGCCGCGGUAAAACGUAGGGCGCAAGCUUUAUCCGGAAUCACUGGGUGUAAAGGGAGCGUAGACGGGUGUGGAAACCUGAAGUGAAAGGCGGGGGCCCAACCCCUGGACUGCUUUGGGAACUGGCCGGCUGGAGUGCAGGAGAGGUAAGUGGAAUUCCUAGUGUAGCGGUGAAAUGCGUAGAUAUUAGGAGGAACACCAGUGGCGAAGGCGGCUUACUGGACUGUAACUGACGUUGAGGCUCGAAAGCGUGGGGAGCAAACAGGAUUAGAUACCCGAGUAGUC